CACGUAGGGGACGAGCGUUGUCCGGAUUCAUUGGGCGUAAAGCGCGCGUAGGCGGACCUGCAAGUCGGGGGUGAAAGCCCGAGGCUUAACCUCGGAACUGCCCUCGAUACUGCGGGUCUCGAGUCCGGGAGAGGUGAGUGGAAUUCCUAGUGUAGAGGUGAAAUUCGUAGAUAUUAGGAAGAACACCAGUGGCGAAGGCGGCUCACUGGCCCGGUACUGACGCUGAGGCGCGAAAGCGUGGGGAGCAAACAGG
rnacentral:rRNA from 1 species